UACGAAAGGGGCUAGCGUUGUUCGGAAUUACUGGGCGUAAAGCGCACUUAGGCGGCCUUGUAAGUUGGGGGUGAAAUCCCCGGGCUCAACCCGGGAACUGCCUUCAAGACUGCAAAGCUCGAGGAUGCGAGAGGUUAGCGGAAUUCCGAGUGUAGAGGUGAAAUUCGUAGAUAUUCGGAAGAACACCAGUGGCGAAGGGGGCUAACGGGCGCAUUUAUGACUCUGAGGUGCGAAAGCGUGGGGAGCAAACAGG
rnacentral:rRNA from 1 species